UCCCCUUUAACUGACUCCAAGAGCAGGAAGUCUCACUCUCGUCUCUCGGAUAGGGAAAGCAAAAAAGAGGAUCAGUGAGGUGUCAUAAAUAUAUUCCAUUACAACAACAAUGGCACAACGGACGGUAUGACAAAGUCGUUUUGGUAACACUAGCUAGGUAAUCACUUUCCUAGUUCUGGCGCUUUUUCGUAGGAGACUCCCUGCAAAGAAGCGUGAGAAGUUAUUAUUAGGGAGAAAUGGCGGACGGCGGAGGCUUCGAGUUGGGUGAUGUUGUCGACCCACCCAUUGCGCCGAAUAUCAUCUGUCCCCUUGUCACCGUUUCUGACCUACCCAGCCCGACAGCUGCAGGCCGUAACCUGAAGGAAUGGCUGCAGGAGCAGUUCAAUAAAAAGCCUGAAGAGCAGAGUGAGGAAGCGCUGCUCCACAACGCUGCUUACGUAGGAGACCUGGAUACUCUAAGGAACCUGCUGCAGGAGGACAGCUUCAGAGAGCGGAUCAACGAGAAGUCUGUAUGGUGCUGUGGUUGGCUGCCCUGCACCCCUCUGCGCAUCGCUGCCACAGCCGGUCAAGGGGCCUGUGUGGCCUACCUGAUAGGCCAGGGGGCCAAGGUGGACCUAGUGGAUGUGAAGGGUCAGACGGCCCUCUACGUGGCGGUGGUCAACGGACACCUGGACUGUGUGACCAUCCUCCUGGAAGCUGGAGCUGACCCCAACGGCAGCCGCCACCACCGCAGCACUCCCGUCUAUCACGCUGCACGGGUAGGCAGGGUGGACAUACUCCAAGAGCUCAUCAGGUUCCAUGCCGACGUGGAUGUGGACCACCAGCUGGGCGCCAGGCCCCCUUUUGGUGCGGCCCGCACCCUCACCACACUGGUGGUGUGCCCGCUCUACAUCAGCGCCGCCUACCGCCACCUCCACUGCUUCAGCCUGCUCCUGGCGGCUGGCGCCCAGCCGGACUACAACUACAACGGACCAGUGAGCCGCGAUGCGCUAGCAAAGGGUUUGGCCUCCUGCCUGCUGGAUGCAGUGCUGAGACACGGCUGUGAGGCGGCGUUCGUCAGACUGCUGCUAGACCACGGUGCCAAGCCCAGCCUGGUACCCUGGGAGCAGCCCCACCGAGAGGGAGCGACCGCCGGGGGCCGAGAGAGGGUUGACCCCGAAGCCCUGCAGCUCUACUUGGAGGCCAGGAGUGAGUAGAGUUCCAACCUUCACACAGCACCAUUAUAUUUACAUUUUAGUCACUUGGCAGACACUCUUAUCUAGAGCCAUGAGGCGCUAUGAUGUGAAAAGUCACAGAAAUAAUAAUAGUAGUAGUGGGUUGCGUGUAUGAAGAGCAUCUUUAUGUGUUUGUGUCUAUUUGACUGUCGCCUAUGAGUUUAUUGAAAGCUUACCGUCGCAACAUGGCAGAAGUGUUUACCUGAAAAGGGUGAAUGUACAUACAUAUACAUCCAAGAUGGCGUAGCAGUGUAGAUGUGGUUUGUUGUCCUAUCGUGUACUUUUGUAUUUUUCGUCUUUUUUUGUACAUAUUUCAAUUUAUUUUCAAUCUCUUUUCCAUUUUUAAAUUAAAUAUACCUUCCGGUAACCCACCUGACCCAAUGUGACGCGGACCCGCUAUUUUUUUUAGACCUUACUUGCACAUCAUCAUCUGCCCAACGAUCACUCCAGUGUUAAUUUGCUAAACUGUAAUUACUUCGCUACUAUGGCCUAUUUAUUGCCUUACCACCUCAUGCCAUUUGCACACACUGUAUAUAGGCUUUCUUUUUUUUCUGUUGUGUUAUUGACUGUAUGUUUUGUUUAUUCCAUGUAACUCGGUGUUGUUGUUUCUGUCGCACUGCUUUGCUUUAUCUUUGCCAGGUCGCAGUUGUAAAUGAGAACUUGUUCUCAACUAGCUUACCUGGUUAAAUAAAGGUGAAAUAAAUAAACACUGUAACAGCAACAUACAUUGCACACAUCACAAAUAUGAAAUUAACACUUGCCGAUACCUUUGCGAUCAUUGACAUUAAACUAAAUGUAUUUGAAGAGUUUAGUUCCAAAACACUAUAUAUCCAUCGUUUAGCUGGAAUGAAAUAUUUGUAUUCUGUAUAUUUGACUGUGGAUAUAUGGUUGUCUCAUCUAAAUGACUAAAAUGUCAAAUGUAAAUAUUUUACAUACAAAUCUCAUAUCACUCUAUUGAUUUAUUGUUUUAUAUUGAUGUCACAAAUGUAUAUAUUGAUGCCACAAAUGUAUAAUUUGUACAUUUCUUUAUAAAAAAAACAAUGAAGUUAUCACAUUUUACCGUGUAAAACCCAUCACUACUACUUAUUCCUCCAAGAGUGAGGCGGAUUUAUAGCGUUUUGCAAUAAAACAUGAUCAUUUGUCUCUCUGAAAUGAAACUAUCAAGUGGUUGAUUUCAAUCAAAUACAGUGCAUUCGGAAAGUAUUCAGACCCCUUGACUUUUUCCACAUUUUGUUACAUUACAGCCUUAUUCUAAAAUAGAUUUUUUUUUUAUAAAAAAAAAUCCUCAGCAAACUAAACACACUACCCCAUAAUGACAUAGCAAAAACAGGUUUUUAGAAUUUUUACAAAUGUAUUAAAAAUGAAAAACUGAUACCUUAUUUAUUCAGACCUUUUGCUAUAAGACUCGAAAUUGAGCUCAGGUGCAUCCUGUUUCCAGUGAUCAUCCUUGAGAUGUUUGACAACUUGAUUGGAGUCCACCUGUGGUAAAUUCAAUUGAUUGUACAUGAUUUGGAAAGGCACACACCUGUCUAUAUAAGGUCCCACUGUUGACAGUGCAUGUCAGAGCAAAAACCAAGCCAUGAGGUUGAAGGAAUGGUCCGUAGAGCUCUGAGACGGGAUUGUGUCGAGGUACAAAUCUGCGGAAGGGUACCAGCAUUGAAGGUCCCCAAGAACACAGUCGCCGCCAUCAUUCUUAAAUGGAAGAAGUUUGGAACCACCAAGACUAUUCCUAGACCUGGCCGCCCGGCCUAACUGAGCAAUCGGGGGAGAAGGGGCUUGGUCAGGGAGGUGACCAAGAACCCAAUAGUCACUCUGACAAAGCUCUAGAGUUCCUCUGUGGAGAUGGGAGAUGCAGCACUCCAUCAAUCAGGCCUUUAUGAUAGAUUGCCCAGACGUAAGCCACUCCUCAGGAAAAAGCACAUGACAGCGCCCUUGGAGUUUGCCAAAAGGCAAUAUUCUCUGGUCUGAUAAAACCAAGAUUGAACUCUUUGGCCUGAAUGACAAGCGCCACGUCUGGCGUGGUGGUGGCAGUAUCAUGCUGGCGGGAUGUUUUUCAGCGGAAUGGACUACGAGACUAGUCAGGAUUGAGGCAAAGAUGAACGGAGCAAAGUACAGAGAGAUCCUUGAUGGAAACCUGCUCCAGAGCGCUCAGGACCUCCGACUGUGGAGAAGGUUAACCUUCCAACAGGACAACGACCCUACGCACACAGCCAAGACAAUGCUGGAGUGGCUUCAGGACAAGUCUCUGAAUGUCCUUGAGUGGCCCAGCCAGAGCCCGGACUUGAACGUGAUUGAACAUCUCUGGAGAGACCUGAAAAUAGCUGUGCAGCGACGCUCCCCAUCCAACCUGACAGAGCUUGAGAGGAUAUGCAGAAAAGAAUGGGACAAACUCCCCAAAUACAGUUGUGCCAAGCUUGUAGCAUCAUACCCAAGAAAACUCUAUGCUGUAAUAACUUCCAAAGGUUCUUCAACAAAGUACUGAGUAAAGGGUCUGAAUACACAUGUAUGUUAUAUUUCAGUUUUUGCAUAAAUUUAUACAAACCUGUUUUUGCUUUGUCAUUAUGGGGUAAUGUGUAUAGAUUGAGGGGGAAACAACUAUUGCAUCCAUUUUAGAAUAAGGCUGUAACAUACCAAAAUGUGAAAAAAGUCAAGGGGUUUGAAUACUUUCCGAAGGCACUGUUACAUGUCUGUCAUUGAACAACCCCAUGCCACAUCUCUUUCACAAGUUCUUCAAAAAAAAUAACAGCUAAUUUACAAACAUUUCUGAAAAUGGAUAUAUAGGGUUUGAAAUUAAACUCUUCAUUUACGUUACUUAUUGAUGAAUUGAUUUUUACAUAACUAGCCUCGUCGAGAACCCCAGGCUUUGCCUAAUCAGGAAAGCCUGGGGAAGUCAAUGGUAGAAAGUGUCUAAAAAGGGUUGGAGACCCAGUGUAAAUCAGUGACUCACGGCAACACGUCAAACCCAUCAACGACCUUGCUUGGGCAGAGUUCCAAAGCGAGAGAAAACAUGCUCUGACGUCGUAGUGAGAAGUUUCCCACUCACAGUCUCAUACAGUAUGUUGCCUGACUAUAAUAUUUUAUCUUGAUACGUUAAUAAAUACCUACUGUGUUCAUUUUGGCAUGUUUAGCUGUCUAGAAUAUCCAUUGUAAUGUGCGUGCAGACUAACUAACAAAGAAUUGGUAGCUAACUAGCUACCCACAAACAUUGAUUAUUAUGUUACAAGCUUGUGAUGACUUUAUGUAGUAAUCUUGUUUAAUUUCUAUUGGUCAAAGGUAAUACAGUAGCACGGGAGUGCGCACUGCUUCUCAAAUGUACAUUUUCAUGCGUUCUCCACACUCGUCCUCACACAAACCUUCUAAAUAAAACGUCCUCGGAGUGACACACGUCAAAACACGCAGCACCCAAUCUAUGGGCAUGUGGGGUGGGAGGGGGGUUCUUGAAAUGUACAUUAAAUGCAGCGCUCCAAUCUAGCUGUUUCGGCCAACACAAACAUCUUCAGGCUUCCAAAGGAGCGGCGUGACAACAACGUGAUUUGGAGGUAUGGUAACACGAGACUAUUACAUUACAUCUACACACAAUAUUUGACAUAUCUGCACUAAGUAUUUAUUUUCUCUCAAACUCAUUGAUGACAAUAACACCAUUAUCUUACUGUACUAUCAACCAGAGGUGUGGACUCGAGUCACAUGGCUUGGACUCGAGUCAGACUUGUUGUUCCCUCGGUCCUGACCCUGAAUCACCACCUGGAGCAGCGGAAGCCUCAAGUCCAUUUCCUGAGUGGCCUGGUCAGAAGUCUCCAGGCAUCCCCGAACAAAUAUUUCUUGGAAUCUUCAUCAAUGUGAAAAUGGCCAGGACACAAGAUGGAAUCACUGCCCCUUUUUCAGAUCCAGUCGAACUCAAAGCAGCUGCUGUGGAUCUGGCUUUUUCUCUGAUGUGGGUAGAGCACCAUGUGCUGGUCAAGGAGAAGGUCAAAGAGGAGGUGGCACAAAGAGUGAAAGAACUGAUUCUGCAAAAUGCUGAAGGGACUGAGCAAGCUGUGCCUCUUGUUGAUGAGUAAAAGCGAGAGGACCAUAGUCUUGGACAAGAAAAAUGGCUUUUUGCAGCACACUAUAAGAGGCAGAAGAAAGCUGUUGGGACCACUACAGCUAAGUCACUACCUCUGGGCGAUGAACAUGAAGGCUCUUUCUUCACUGUCCCGAGUGGCCAUCAGGGUCUUGGCAGAGUGCGUCCAGUGCGUCCGGUGGAGCGUGUCUUCAGCCAUGGUGGCAUCAUACUGCAGCCUCAUCGUGCACAAAUGACUGACAGACCUUUAUUGAAUUUGGUCUUUUGCAAAUGCAAUGCAUCAUAGGCCCUGAGAUAAGAGAAAAAAAUUAACUGUUUAUGCAUUACACACACACACACACGUAGUCUCCAUGUUCAGGUUUUAUCUCCCAUCUUUGGGAUUUGUAUUUUUUUUCUCAGACAUUCAGGCCAGUGUUCAAAUUGUAGGCCUACUUGAAGUUCAGUAGCAGUUGUUUUGAUGUACCUUUUAAUAAAUGAUUGUAACUUCAUGGCAGGAUUGUUUUAGGUGUCUAAAAUAUAUCUGGAUAGAGACAGAGAGCACUACAAUAUUUUGUUUUUGUUGUCAUAUUGAUGUAUUUCCAUAUAACGUUUAUUUGUAAAGUAAUAAAUAUAUAUAUAUUUUUUAAAAGCA